rnacentral:tRNA from 1 species
GGAGAGGUGCCCGAGUGGCUGAAGGGGCUCGCCUGGAAAGCGAGUAUACCGGUAGACCCGGUAUCGAGGGUUCGAAUCCCUCCCUCUCCG